rnacentral:rRNA from 1 species
UAAGACAGAGGUCCCGAGCGUUAGGCGGAAUCACUGGGCUUAAAGCGUGUGUAGGCGGAUGCCUAAGUACCUUGUGAAAUCCCACGGCUCACCCGUGGAACUGCUUGGUAUACUGGGUGUCUUGAGCCACUUAGGGGCUACCGGAACAAAUGGUGGAGCGGUGAAAUGCGUAGAUAUCAUUUGGAACGCCAAUGGUGAAAACAGGUAGCUGGGAGUGUGCUGACGCUGAGACACGAAAGCCAGGGGAGCAAACGGGAUUAGAUACCCCGGUAGUCCUGGCUGUAAACGAUGUCGACUAGAUCGUGGUGGCUCUGACGCCAUCACGGUCGAAGCAAAAGUGCUAAGUCGACCGCCUGGGAAGUACGGUCGCAAGGCUA